rnacentral:rRNA from 1 species
AGUGAACGCUGGCGGUAGGCCUAACACAUGCAAGUCGAACGGCAGCACAGUAAGAGCUUGCUCUUACGGGUGGGGAGUGGCGGACGGGUGAGGAAUACAUCGGAAUCUACUUUUUCGUGGGGGAUAACGUAGGGAAACUUACGCUAAUACCGCAUACGACCUACGGGUGAAAGCAGGGGAUCUUCGGACCUUGCGCGAUUGAAAGAGCCGAUGUCGGAUUAGCUAGUUGGCGGGGUAAAGGCCCACCAAGGCGACGAUCCGUAGCUGGUCUGAGAGGAUGAUCAGCCACACUGGAACUGAGACACGGUCCAGACUCCUACGGGAGGCAGCAGUGGGGAAUAUUGGACAAUGGGCGCAAGCCUGAUCCAGCCAUACCGCGUGGGUGAAGAAGGCCUUCGGGUUGUAAAGCCCUUUUGUUGGGAAAGAAAAGCAGCAGGUUAAUACCCCGCUGUUCUGACGGUACCCAAAGAAUAAGCACCGGCUAACUUCGUG